AAUUAUGUAGUUUAAAGGUAAAACAUUAUACUUCUAAUAUAAUUAUCUAGGUUCGAUUCCUAGCAUGAUUA